CGGGNUCAGUUGUAGCAAUACGACUGUGAGAGUGGCGCACGGGNUGCGUAACACGUAUGCAACCUACCUUAAACUGGGGAAUAGCCCCUCGAAAGAGGGAUUAAUACCGCAUAACGAGGCGUGUAGGCAUCUACACUCCUCUAAAACUCCGGUGGUUUAAGAUGGGCAUGCGGCUGAUUAGCUAGUUGGUGAGGUAAUGGCUCACCAAGGCUACGAUCAGUAGGGGGUCUGAGAGGAUGUCCCCCCACACUGGUACUGAGACACGGACCAGACUCCUACGGGAGGCAGCAGUAGGGAAUAUUGGACAAUGGGGGAAACCCUGAUCCAGCCAUGCCGCGUGCAGGAUGACUGCCCUAUGGGUCGUAAACUGCUUUUGUACGGGAAGAAACCACAUUACGUGUAAUGUGUUGACGGUACCGUGAGAAUAAGGAUCGGCUAACUUCGUGCCAGCAGCCGCGGUAAUACGAAGGAUCCUAGCGUUGUCCGGAUUUACUGGGUUUAAAGGGUGCGUAGGCGGACUUUUAAGUCAGUGGUGAAAGCCUGCAGCUUAACUGUAGAAUUGCCAUUGAAACUGAAAGUCUCGAGUGUGGUUGAGGUAGCUGGAAUGUAUCAUGUAGCGGUGAAAUGCUUAGAUAUGAUACAGAACUCCAAUUGCGAAGGCAGGCUACUAAACCAUAACUGACGCUGAGGCACGAAAGCGUGGGGAUCAAACAGGAUUAGAUACCCUGNUAGUCCACGCCCCAAACGUUGCAUACUCGGUUUUGGCGAUAUACAGUCAGGACCCAAGCGAAAGCGUUAAGUACGCCACCUGGGAAGUACGAUCGCAAGAUUGAAACUCAAAGGAAUUGACGGGGGCCCGCANA
rnacentral:rRNA from 1 species